ACAUUCCAUUUUUAUUGUCUGGUUUCCCUGCCCGGACUCCGGCUUCCCCUGCCCUUCCACCCCUUUGGGGCCGAGGAGCAGCCACAGUCGUUAACAAGAACCCGCCCUCGAAAGAUUCGAUAAUUUGGGAGGAAUCUGGGCAGCGUGGACAGGGAGGGUGUCCCUUCCAGAGGUCGGCUAAGGCAGCGACUUGAGACUCCACCGAGCGUCCCGAGCCCGAGCCCGAGGGAGCACCAGACGUGAGGAGGAGCCUCCAAAGGGUGGCUGGAGAGAGAGAGUGUGUGUGUGUGUGUGUGUGUGUGUGUGUGUGUGUGUGUGAAGGAGUCUGGUGGGGAGAGCAGAGAGGCCAGAUGCAGCAGGGGCCUGAA
rnacentral:lncRNA from 1 species